AACUUUCGGCAAUGGAUCUCUUGGUUCCGGCAUCGAUGACGAACGCAGCGAAAUGCGAUAAGUAAUGCGAAUUGCAGAAUUCCGUGAGUCAUCGAAUCUUUGAACGCACAUUGCGCCCCCCGGCUGCCCGGGGGGCAUGCCUGUCCGAGCGUCAUUGCCAUCCCCUCAAGCUCCGCUUGGCUGGUUGGGCCGACGUCCACCCGUGGCUUUGUGCCAAGGGGGGACGGACCCGAAAGGCAGUGGCGGCUCCCGGAGGGUGGUCCCUUGGGGCGGUGAUACAUGGGUUGUCAUCUUCCACCGCUCUGUUGGCCACGCUCCGGGGGUCUGUCGAACGAUUGGUCUUCCCCUUUAGGUUGACCUCGGAUCAGGUAGGGAUACCCGCUGAACUUAAGCAUAUCAAUAAGCGGAGGCU
rnacentral:misc_RNA from 1 species